GAUGAAGAACGCAGCGAAAUGCGAUAAGUAAUGUGAAUUGCAGAAUUCAGUGAAUCAUCGAGUCUUUGAACGCACAUUGCGCCCCCUGGUAUUCCGGGGGGCAUGCCUGCCCGAGCGUCAUUGCUGCCCUCAAGCACGGCUUGUGUGUUGGGCCUCCGUCCUCCUCCCGGGGGACGGGCCCGAAAGGCAGCGGCGGCACCGCGUCCGGUCCUCGAGCGUAUGGGGCUUCGUCACCCGCUCUUGUAGGCCCGGCCGGCGCUUGCCGACACAUCAAUCUUUUUUCCAGGUUGACCUCGGAUCAGGUAGGGAUACCCGCUGAACUUAAGCAUAUCAAUAAGCGGAGGA
rnacentral:misc_RNA from 1 species